rnacentral:rRNA from 1 species
UACGUAGGGGGCAAGCGUUGUCCGGAAUCAUUGGGCGUAAAGCGCGUGUAGGCGGCUUGGUAAGUCUGCUCUGAAAGCCCGGGGCUCAACCCCGGGAGGCGGGUGGAUACUGUCAAGCUCGAGUCCGGAAGAGGAGUGUGGAAUUCCUGGUGUAGCGGUGAAAUGCGUAGAUAUCUGGAGGAACACCGGUGGCGAAGGCGGCAUCCUGGACCGACAUUGACGCUGAGGCGCGAAAGCCAGGGGAGCAAACGGG